rnacentral:misc_RNA from 1 species
CAUCUCUGCGAACACCGCCGCGAGCGCCAAAACCCAUUUCCCUACAACUUCAACGAAUUGGGGAAGCAAGGCGUCCGUCUUCCACGCGUCCGGCGCGAACGCCGCACGACGCCCAGACACCGCAGGGCGGCAAAACGGCCAACCCCCGUGGCGGCAUGCCCGCCGCGUUUCCUCUGCGGGGGCGGAGGCUGGAGGCCGGCCACGGCAAAAGGCCCCACCGCCCAACAGCGCCAGGGCUGCGCAAGGCACCGCCAGAAACCGCGGCCGCCAAGGGCGUGAUGAAGGCAACCUGGCCCGCUAGGGGGGGGGGAUGCUGGGCUGGAGCGACGGUGGGCGUUUUGCGUUUCAAAGACCGCCCUCGUCACAAGAGCCGCUUUCCCCCUCAGAGAAGCACGCGCCCACCGCGGUUCCGCAAAGCCGAUGGAGAGACCAGCCCCCACCCGACCCAAGGCGCACCUGGAAAAAGAAUCGUGACAGCCCCCUUUCGGCGCACGCCGCCCCGCGCCGUGGAAACACGCCCGGAAAACCAAAAGCCACACAAAGGGCACGCCGGCACCGCCUGCCUUAUUUUCCGAAAAGUUUAACGGUGCAAAAAAACAACCUGCCCAGCACACAUGAGCGCCAAUGAAAAAAAAACAUCAUCGAAAACCUCGCAAACACGCCCAGGUAGCGCCCCAGACCGAAACACACCCGUAAAAACGAAGGCGCCGCACACCCUCUAAAGUAGAAAAAAAACCUCGUGCUACAAGCCGAUCCUCGUUGCUAAGCUGAGCGGGGUCUUUGGCGGCCGCCAGCCGCCAACCAGCUUUUCAACGCCCCGCCCAUCCCGCCAAUGAAAACAAACCGCCGGGCCCUCGACCAGGUGUGCGAAAAAAAAAAACGCGCCCAACACCGCUGGCGAAAAGACGGGCGCGGCCAACAGAAAAGGCCCCCCCCCGCAGCCGUAAUGUGUGAAAAAAGGGUGGGCAGACACCCCCCCCCCCGAAGAAAGGCCCAAAAGAUGUUUUUUUUUGGCGCCUUGCUUGAUCGCGUCCCGCGUUGCAGCCGUUAAAAAAAAAGCGGCAGAGAGAAGACACCGGCAAGGCGUGAGUGCCGUAUUUCUGCCACACGCCCCCUCCCUUAAAACACGCGAAUAAGAAAACAUUUGCGCAACAAGGCUUAGCAGCACCAGGAAACGUAUAAAACGCGGCAAAAGAACCCCACGCGCCAAGAGGUUUUUUGACAGGCAAAGGCGCACACAUGUAUUUUCCGGGGGUGACCAUCCCAACCGCC